ACGGGUGAGUAACGCGUGAGAAUUUGGCUUCAGGUCGGGGACAACCACUGGAAACGGUGGCUAAUACCGGAUAUGCCGGAAGGUGAAAGGCUUGCUGCCUGAAGAUAAGCUCGCGUCUGAUUAGCUAGUUGGUGGGGUAAGAGCCUACCAAGGCGACGAUCAGUAGCUGGUCUGAGAGGAUGAUCAGCCACACUGGGACUGAGACACGGCCCAGACUCCUACGGGAGGCAGCAGUGGGGAAUUUUCCGCAAUGGGCGAAAGCCUGACGGAGCAAUACCGCGUGAGGGAGGAAGGCUCUUGGGUCGUAAACCUCUUUUCUCAGGGAAGAAGAAAGUGACGGUACCUGAGGAAUAAGCAUCGGCUAACUCCGUGCCAGCAGCCGCGGUAAUACGGAGGAUGCAAGCGUUAUCCGGAAUGAUUGGGCGUAAAGGGUCCGCAGGUGGUACUGUAAGUCUGCUGUUAAAGAGUCUAGCUCAACUAGAUAAAAGCAGUGGAAACUACAGAACUAGAGUGCGUUCGGGGCAGAAGGAAUUCCUGGUGU
rnacentral:rRNA from 2 species